rnacentral:rRNA from 1 species
CGAGAAAGUGGAGCAUCCAUGAGUAAAGUGGCGACCGGGUGAGUAACACGUGACUACCUACCCUUGAGUGGGGGAUAACCUCGGGAAACCGAGGCUAAUACCGCAUAAUAUCGAAAGAUCAAAGGAGUAAUCCGCUUUUGGAGGGGGUCGCGGCUGAUUAGCUAGUUGGUAGGGUAAUGGCCUACCAAGGCGAAAAUCGGUAUCCGGCCUGAGAGGGCGCACGGACACACUGGAACUGAAACACGGUCCAGACUCCUACGGGAGGCAGCAGUGGGGAAUUUUGCGCAAUGGGGGAAACCCUGACGCAGCAACGCCGCGUGGAGGAUGAAGUCCCUUGGGACGUAAACUCCUUUCGACCGGGACGAUAAUGACGGUACCGGUGGAAGAAGCCCCGGCUAACUUCGUGCCAGCAGCCGCGGUAAUACGAGGGGGGCAAGCGUUGUUCGGAAUUAUUGGGCGUAAAGGGCGCGUAGGCGGUGCGGUAAGUCACCUGUGAAAUCUCCGGGCUUAACUCGGAGCCUGCANGCGAAACUGCCGUGCUGGAGUAUGGGAGAGGUGCGUGGAAUUCCCGGUGUAGCGGUGAAAUGCGUAGAUAUCGGGGAGAACACCUGUGGCGAAAGCGGCGCACUGGACCAUAACUGACGCUGAGGCGCGAAAGCUAGGGGAGCAAACAGG